AUUGAACGCUGGCGGCAUGCCUUACACAUGCAAGUCGAACGGCAGUGGGGGAGAAGCUUGCUUUUCCUGCCGGCGAGUGGCGAACGGGUGAGUAAUACAUCGGAACGUGCCCUGUAGUGGGGAUAACUAGUCGAAAGAUUAGCUAAUACCGCAUACGACCUGAGGGUGAAAGUGGGGACCGCAUGGCAUUCUUAUAUAUGAGCGGCCGAUGUCUGACUAGUUAGUUGGUGGGGUAAAGGCCUACCAAGGCGACAAUCAGUAGCUGGUCUGAGAGGACGAUCAGCCACACUGGGACUGAGACACGGCCCAGACUCCUACGGGAGGCAGCAGUAGGGAAUUUUGGACAAUGGUCGAAAGCCUGAUCCAGCAAUGCCGCGUGUGUGAAGAAGGCCUUCGGGUUGUAAAGCACUUUUGUCCGGAAAGAAAUGGCUCUGGUUAAUACCUGGGGUCGAUGACGGUACCGGAAGAAUAAGGACCGGCUAACUACGUGCCAGCCGCCGCCGUAA
rnacentral:rRNA from 1 species